UACGUAGGGGGCGAGCGUUGUCCGGAAUUAUUGGGCGUAAAGAGCGUGUAGGCGGUUCGGUAAGUCUGCCAUGAAAACCUGGGGCUCAACCCUGGGCGUGCGGUGGAUACUGCCGGGCUAGAGGGUGGUAGAGGCGAGUGGAAUUCCCGGUGUAGCGGUGAAAUGCGCAGAUAUCGGGAGGAACACCAGUAGCGAAGGCGGCUCGCUGGGCCAUUCCUGACGCUGAGACGCGAAAGCUAGGGGAGCGAACAGG
rnacentral:rRNA from 1 species